rnacentral:lncRNA from 1 species
GCACCAGGUCUGAGCAUGAGAGCUUGCAACUGUGGUACAUUAUGGAGUAGGGUACUAACCCAAAAGAAAAAAUGUCCUCUAAAACUAAUACAUUAGUUUUCAUGUAUAAGGGCCAUGUUUUCCUCUCCUGAGGUGCAAAAAAAAAAAAAAAUCCUGCAAAAAAUGAAAAUGAGAAUAAAAGCAACCAUCUUUAAAUCAUCAUGCUGGGUGUGGUGAGUUUAGGGUUUGGUGCAACCUCCCAUCACUUCUGUGACACACCCAAUCACAAACACACCAUGAAGUCAGAAUAUAAGAGUCCCAACGUCUGGAGGACAUGAGCAUGGAAGAUGCUAUUUUUGUCCAAAUUCUCACACUCUCUCUUUUUGUUCUACAUCCCAUGUACUAACUGACAGGGUUUUCAUGAGUCACAGUCAAGACUGCCACAAAGCUUCUCAUGCAGAGAGAUUCCAGGUCAUAUAGAGAGCUGUGAGAAAAUAAUGGAGGCAUGGACACAGUUACAGCUAUCAUGAGCUUUCUGGAAUCUAGCCUGCUCUGCUGGUUUAUCCAUUUUGUGCUGCUCCCCACUUCCUGACAAGAGGAGAGUGUUUUGCAAGGUGAAGAACAGCAUUGCUUUACUGACAAAAUGGUGAGAUCUACACAGUCAAAGUGACAUUCAGUAUGCAGACUCACCAGGGAAUUUACAAGUCAUCCUAAAACUAUAUCUUCCUUUGUUGAAAGCAUCCCAGCAGAGGAUCGAGGUCACAGUGCAUCACACCUGGAAGGACUGAGACAGGAAUCUGCUAGGUUUUCAACAGAUGUUUUGUUUUGUGAGAUAUUCAUGGCAAGCCACUCUGCCUGGCUCCUUCUUUCAGCCAUGGCUAGUAAGUGCAAAGCUGAGCGCCUGCCAUCUCCAUGCGUGCGGCUGCAUCUCCCCAUGCACCCAGGGGUGAAGGCAGCCACAAGGUCAGCUCUGAGUAACAGCCUCAAGGAGUUUAAAUAA